AGUACGUUGGCAACAAUGAAACUCAAAGGAAUUGACGGGGGCCCGCACAAGCGGAGGAACAUGUGGUUUAAUUCGAUGAUACGCGAGGAACCUUACCUGGGCUUAAAUGCAUUUUGACCGAUCCGGAAACGGAUCUUCCCUUCGGGGCAAAUUACAAGGUGCUGCAUGGUUGUCGUCAGCUCGUGCCGUGAGGUGUCGGGUUAAGUCCCAUAACGAGCGCAACCCCUAUCGUUAGUUGCUAGCAGGUAAAGCUGAGGACUCUAGCGAGACUGCCACCGUAAGGUGAGAGGAAGGUGGGGAUGACGUCAAAUCAGCACGGCCCUUACGUCCAGGGCUACACACGUGUUACAAUGGCUAGUACAAAGGGCAGCUACCUGGUGACAGGAUGCUAAUCUCAAAAGCUAGUCUCAGUUCGGAUCGGAGUCCGCAACUCGACUCCGUGAAGUUGGAUUCGCUAGUAAUCGUAUAUCAGCAAUGAUACGGUGAAUACGUUCCCGGGCCUUGUACACACCGCCCGUCAAGCCAUGGAAGCCGAGGGGACCUGAAGUUCGUAACCGCAAGGAGCGACCUAGGGUAAAAUUGGUAACUGGGGCUAAGUCGUAACAAGGUAACCGUA
rnacentral:rRNA from 1 species